AUAUAACAUUUAUAAAGUCAACAUGUAAUAUUUAAUCAAAGUUAAUAGUACCUACCUAUGUUUUAUUUUUUUUUCGUUAUCAAAAAAUAUGUACAAGGUAAUCAACUAUUUAAUUAAAAUAAUAAAAAUAAUGUAUAAUAAACAUCAGUGAGCGUUAGGGAAAAUUGUAACAAAAAAAUGGUCGAAAUAAACCUAGAGAUAGAUAUACACUUUCCAUCAAGGAGUUGAAAUUUGGAAACAAUUUUAGACUCCUCCAGUACAAAUCGUUAGGGAGUCAAAAUCUACGGUCACACCGGUCCAUAGUUUUAAUUUUUUUUACCAAUGGGUAUCAAAAUUCUAUUAUUUAUUUGUUUUUUUGAUAAGAAGUUGUACAAUAAGGUACUAAGAUGCAAUUUUCCACUAGCCUACGGUUAACAUUUAAUAUUUAUAAUAUAAUCAAAUAGUCAAAUAGGUACAUAGUAAGUUAUAAAUGAAAUAAUCAAAGCUCUUAUUAAUGUUCAUAAACUUUUUAUUGUGGAC